UACGAAGGGUGCAAGCGUUACUCGGAAUUACCGGGCGUAAAGCGUGCGUAGGUGGUGAGUUAAGUCUGUCGUGAAAGCCCCGGGCUCAACCUGGGAAUUGCAUUUGAGACUGCGUAGCUAGGGUGCGGAAGAGGGAAGCGGAAUUUCCGGUGUAGCGGUGAAAUGCGUAGAUAUCGAGGAGGAACACCGGUGGCGAAGGCGGGUCUCUGGGCCGGAUA
rnacentral:rRNA from 1 species